rnacentral:misc_RNA from 1 species
AAGUCGUAACAAGGUUUCCGUAGGUGAACCUGCGGAAGGAUCAUUACAUUCAGUAGCUUGCUACUGUUAGGGGGGUCGAUCAGCCUGUAUAGUAUCACUACUGAUGAGCAGCACAACCCCCUGUCUGUAUCCUUGUCUUUUGCGCACUCAUGUUUCCUCGGCGGGUCUAUGCCCGCCGGCUGGACAACUCUAUAACCUUUUUAAUUUUCAAUCAGCGUCUGAAAAACCUAAUAAUUACAACUUUCAACAACGGAUCUCUUGGUUCUG